UGCCAGCAGCCGCGGUAAUACGGAGGGGGCUAGCGUUGUUCGGAAUUACUGGGCGUAAAGCGCGCGUAGGCGGACUAUUAAGUCAGGGGUGAAAUCCCGGGGCUCAACCCCGGAACUGCCCUUGAUACUGGUAGUCUUGAGUUCGAGAGAGGUGAGUGGAAUUCCGAGUGUAGAGGUGAAAUUCGUAGAUAUUGGGAAGAACACCAGUGGCGAAGGCGGCUAACUGGCUCGGUACUGACGCUGAGAUGCGAAAGCGUGGGGAGCAAACAGGAUUAGAUA
rnacentral:rRNA from 1 species